rnacentral:rRNA from 1 species
UCUGGCGGUCCCUGUGGCCGUCCGAGUUGUAAUUUAGAGAAGCGUUAUCCGCGCUAGACCGUGUACAAGUCUCCUGGAAUGGAGCCUCAUAGAGGGUGAGAAUCCCGUCUUUGACACGGACUGCUAGGGCAUUGUGAUGCGCUCUCAAAGAUUCGAGUUGUUUGGGAAUGCAGCUCAAAAUGGGUGGUAAAUUCCAUCUAAAGCUAAAUAUUGAGGAGAGACCGAUAGCGAACAAGUACCGUGAGGGAAAGAUGAAAAGAACUUUGGAAAGAGAGUUAAACAGUACGUGAAAUUGCUGAAAGGGAAACGCUUGAAGUCAGUCGCGUCGUUCAGAACUCAACCUUGCUUUUGCUUGGUGUACUUUCUGUUCGACGGGUCAGCAUCAAUUUUGGUCGGUGGAUAAAGGCUUAGAGAAUGUGGCAUCCUCGGAUGUGUUAUAGCUCUGGGUCGCAUACAUCGGCUGGGAUUGAGGAACUCAGCACGCCGAAAGGCCGGGUACUUGUACCACGUUACGUGCUUAGGAUGCUGGCAUAAUGGCUUUAAUCGACCCGUCUUGAAACACGGACCAAGGAGUCUAACAUGCCUGCGAGUGUUUGGGUGGAAAACUCGAGCGCGUAAUGAAAGUGAAAGUUGAGAUCCCUGUCGUGGGGAGCAUCGACGCCCGGAGCAGACCUUUUGUGACGCAUCCGCGGUAGAGCAUGUAUGUUGGGACCCGAAAGAUGGUGAACUAUGCCUGAAUAGGGUGAAGCCAGAGGAAACUCUGGUGGAGGCUCGUAGCGAUUCUGACGUG